rnacentral:rRNA from 1 species
UACGUAGGGUGCAAGCGUUAAUCGGAAUUACUGGGCGUAAAGGGCGCGUAGGCGGCACAGCAAGUCGGGAGUGAAAGCCCGGGGCUCAACCCCGGAAUGGCUUUCGAAACUGCUGAGCUAGAGUACAGAAGGGGCAACCGGAAUUCCCAGUGUAGCGGUGAAAUGCGUAGAUAUUGGGAAGAACACCUGAGGCGAAGGCGGGUUGCUGGGCUGACACUGACGCUGAGGCGCGAAAGCCAGGGGAGCAAACGGG